rnacentral:rRNA from 4 species
GGUUAAGCGACUAAGCGUACACGGUGGAUGCCCUGGCAGUCAGAGGCGAUGAAGGGCGUGCUAAUCUGCGAUAAGCGCCGGUAAGGUGAUAUGAACCGUUAUAACCGGCGAUACCCGAAUGGGGAAACCCAGUGUGAUUCGUCACACUAUCAUUAACUGAAUCCAUAGGUUAAUGAGGCGAACCGGGGGAACUGAAACAUCUAAGUACCCCGAGGAAAAGAAAUCAACCGAGAUUCCCCCAGUAGCGGCGAGCGAACGGGGAGGAGCCCAGAGCCUGAAUCAGCAUGUGUG